rnacentral:rRNA from 1 species
AUUGAACGCUGGCGGCAUGCUUUACACAUGCAAGUCGAACGGUAACAGGUUAAGCUGACGAGUGGCGAACGGGUGAGUAAUGCAUCGGAACGUGCCCGAUCGUGGGGGAUAACGCAGCGAAAGCUGCGCUAAUACCGCAUGCGAUCUGAGGAUGAAAGCGGGGGACCGUAAGGCCUCGCGCGAUCGGAGCGGCCGAUGUCAGAUUAGGGAGUUGGUGGGGUAAAGGCCCACCAAGCCGACGAUCUGUAGCUGGUCUGAGAGGACGACCAGCCACACUGGGACUGAGACACGGCCCAGACUCCUACGGGAGGCAGCAGUGGGGAAUUUUGGACAAUGGGCGAAAGCCUGAUCCAGCAAUGCCGCGUGCAGGAAGAAGGCCUUCGGGUUGUAAACUGCUUUUGUACGGAGCGAAAAGGUCCUUUCUAAUACAAGGGGCUCAUGACGGUACCGUAAGAAUAAGCACCGGCUAACUACGUGCCAGCCGCCGCAGUAAAAC